AUCCAACUGACGAGUCUUAAAUAGGACGAAACGCGCGUCCUGGAU
rnacentral:hammerhead_ribozyme from 1 species